AUGAACGCUAGCGACAGGCCUAACACAUGCAAGCGAGGGGCAGCACAAGGAGCAAUCUGAGGUGGCGACCGGCGCACGGGUGAGUAACACGUAUGCAACCUGCCUGUAAGCGGGGAAUAACCCGUUGAAAGACGGACUAAUACCGCAUAAUACUAAAUUACUGCAUGGUAAUUUAUUUAAACAUUUAUGGCUUACAGAUGGGCAUGCGCAUGAUUAGCUAGUUGGAGAGGUAACGGCUCCCCAAGGCAACGAUCAUUAGGGGUUCUGAGAGGAAGGUCCCCCACACUGGUACUGAGACACGGACCAGACUCCUACGGGAGGCAGCAGUGAGGAAUAUUGGUCAAUGGACGAGAGUCUGAACCAGCCAAGUCGCGUGCAGGAAGAAUGUUCCCUAUGGAUUGUAAACUGCUUUUGGCGGGGGAAUAAAGUGCAUCACGUGUGAUGUUUUGUAUGUACUCUGCGAAUAAGGAUCGGCUAACUCCGUGCCAGCCGCAGC
rnacentral:rRNA from 1 species